AUGGGAGAGCCCGGGAGAACCGAGCCCCGAACGGAGAGAAAGCAGCGCCACGCAGCGCUGGCGUGUCUGCGCGGCUUUUUGUUCGGUCAAGAGGUCUGUGACCAGAAGGAAGGAACCAGCCCUAUUCUAAAGAGGAUGUCAUUUGAGUCUCCAAACAGAAAUCUCUGCAUUGCAGCACUGUGGAAAGCCUGGUCAGCCCUGGCUAAAAGCUCGGGCUAAACUUGGUUACGUGAGUCACCACUUCAGUGACUUCAUACCACAGGCACGGCGGGAAGGAACAGCGGUGAUGCUGACAGACACCAGAGCUUAAAAGGGGAGAAAUAAUGAGAAGAAAAAUAAAGCACCAGUUUAUUCUCUAUGAUGGCUAGAAGGAAUCAGCCAUAGGAUUCCCUGCUCUGAUGAUGCAAGUCAGAGAGCUCUGAGUACCUGCGUGGCAGAACAGGGCUCUGAAGGGGCGGCUCUGGGACGGGGACCUCAGUUUGGGCACCAGGGCGGAGCCUGUGGCUCCAACAGGAAGAACUGCAGCUUGAUUAAAAAUGGCAAGGUGAUACAUUUGCAGUCCAAGGUGAAACUAUCCCCAGGCUAUUGGAGCAG